UGAAGAAGCACUUGAAGAGGCUCAAUGUGCCCAAGCAUUGGAUGCUCGAUAAGCUUGGCAGAGCUUUUGCUCCCAAGCCAUCUUCUGGACCUCACAAGUCCAGGGAGUGCCUGCCUCUGAUCCUCAUCAUCAGGAACAUGCUCAAGUCUGCACUGACGUACCGUGAGGUCAUUUCUAUCCUGAUGCAACGCCAUGUACUUGUUGAUGGCAAGGUCAGGACUGACAAGACCUACCCUGCUGGGUUCAUGCAUGUCAUUUCCAUCCCUAAGACAAACGAGAACUACAGGCUGCUUCCGUCUUUACCCAAUCAAGGAUGAGGAUGCCAAGUUCAUGCUAUGCAAGGUGAGGCCUAUUCAGUUUGGCCAGAAAGGCAUCCCCUACAUGAACACCUACGACGACCGCACCAUCCGCUACCCCGACCCGCUCAUCAAGGCCAACGACACCAUCACGAUCGAUCUGGAGACCAACAAGAUCAUGGACUUCAUCAAGUUUGAUGUCGGCAACGUGAUCAUGGUGACCGGUGGGAGGAACACCGGGCGUGUAGGAGUGAUCAAGAACAGGGAGAAGCACAAGAGCAGCUUUGAGACCAUCCACGUGCUGCUUGGAGGUUUUUGCUAUGUCUAGUUUUCUUCUAUUUGUUGUACAGGAAAACAUAGAAUGGAAUUCAAAUUUGGUGGCCGCAGAAGUGUAGAGAUUUGAUUUCAUAUAAAGUUAGGCUUAACAUUAGUGCAAACAAUUGU